UUAGUCGCCUCACGUUGUGUUAUACUUAUUGUUAAAAUGUGGCAAGAGUGUUAUACAAAAUGUUACGACCAGCUGCAUGGUCGUGAAUACCAACAACAAAUUCAAGAAUUUGAGAAAAGAAGCAUAAUGUAACUAUAAAUUCGUUUCAGCCUUCAAACUGUAUCGUGAAUUGCAUAGGUCUGGUUGCAGACUAGACUUUUGAGUAAAAAUGCAACCAGUUUCGUGAGGAUUUUGCACCAAAGUGCAAAUUUCAAAACAACAAACUAUACGAAAAAUUUGUAAAAUAAAAUACAAAUAAAUUUUAAACGAUUAUAGCAUUUUGUUGUUGUUCUUCAUUUGCGUAUCUUUAAAAUUUCCCGUGUGAGCUGAAGAGAGGAGUAAACUAAACCGUGGUGCAAAGCAGGAUCUUGAGCUCAUUACGUCGAGUCACUUUGUUUUUGUUCCCUUGCAGAACAGGGGCUAUUGGCUAGACUUUGUAAAAAUGCGUUCCGUCUGGUACAGCCUUCAUAAAACUUGAAAAUCGCUGAUUUUGAUAUCCAUUUAGAGAUGACAGCAUUUUUAUAAUACCCCCUAUAUAAAAGUCCCUUCUUUUCCAAACCGAUCAGUUAGCCACGAACAACGAGAGACAAAAGACUUAAAGCAACAUAAAAAAUGACACCGCUUUUCGCUUUACUCUUUUUGCUUUUCGGUUUAGUCCACGCUGCAGUGGUUCCCAUUGAUUCUUCGUCAGUAAAUGUGAAACAUUCGGGUCAGGAUUAUUCGUAUUCGAUUAACGAGAAUCGAGGGAUUGCCAUCGACCCCUUGCCACAUUACGAGAUUCCAGUGAUCAAGACAGCACCUGGGAAUAGUUUGAUCAAACAUGAGCACAUUCCGGUGAAAGAUCAUGAGAUAAAGCCUUUGCAGCCGCAGGUUGCAGGGAUGGGUUAUUCAACGCCUGUGGCAGUUCUUCCAGCGUAUUCCUACCUUCCUGCCCAUCAGUAUGCCAUUCCGUACCCAUACGGGAUUAAUUAUCCCUACAAUUUGAUUGCGACUAUUUAAGGAGUAGCUGGAUUAGAACAAAAAUGGAUUUGGGGAACUGGGGUUUAGAAUUAGCGCCGAUGGAUGUGGUACAAUAAUUGGUGAUAAAUAAAAAGUGUUUGAAGAU